CAUGGUCAGGGUGAUGUAGAGUGAGGGACAUUCAGGUGGCGGGUUUCUGCUUUUGGUUUCACUUUCUCCUGGCUGUAUGGACUCCUGUGGCUCCGGCUGGCUAGGUCACUCUAAUGGAGUGGCAACAUACACAAAAACAUCAAGAACAUUCUGUGAUUGGUUUCUGAGGAAGGUGAGGAAAAACAAGUCCUACCUCCUUUUGAAAUAUACUAACAACCAUCCCUCGGACCAGUGAUCAGCACAGCCCUCCUCAGGACCAGUGUUCUCCAGGGAUCCAAAGCGUUGAAACCACCUGAACACUGUCAAGAGACACAGAGUCUUAGGUCCCAAGCCGAUCUACUGAAUCAGAAACUCUAGGGAUGAGACCCAGAAAACUGUGGUUUCAACCAUACUCUCCUGCUAUCCCAGUUUUGAGAGAACAUUUGGAAGGCGCAAGUCUUGUCUUCACUGGAUAGCUCAUUUUGAGUCCACUAGAUCUCAUCUGCUUGACAUGUUGUAUUAACAACUUUACAAACCUAUGAGUCAACAUAAGACUUUGUUUAUCACAUGGAAGCAAAGGAUCACUGUUUUAUGAAAUAUUCUAACAUUUACUAAGAACUUGGAGCUAAAAUUGCUACCAGUGAGCAAAGAAAUGAGAUUGUGCUGGUAUGGGCCCUGACAUCUGAAGGAUGUUCUUCUCUGGACUCUCCUGCUGGUGUGGGUUGCCAUCAUUUAUUUUGUUAAGUUCACCUGGUAGCUACACAGAGCAUUGCUUUGAUGGUAGAGUUUAUGCAUGUUUCUAUAGCCUUAUUUUCAUAGUAACUGUUCACAGACUACUGGGAUAGUCUGAUUUAAAAUGCUCAUGUGACUGAAUCCCUUGCAUUCCAUCCUAUAUGUGCAUCCUGGGUAGAGAAUGUUUUUUGUUUUGUUUUGGUUUGGUUUUUUAUUUAUUUAUUCAAGAGAGAAGAGUUUGAAUCUGAAGACCAAGGCAAAACACCAAAUGUCACGUCAUAAACUGUGGCAUAAAAUGCUAAAAUUAAGAUACGAAAUCAUCUCAUCCCAGGCUUUCAAUGAAAUAUGUUGGAAAACAGCAAGUGUACCCGUAUACAAAGAAGAGAGUACCUACACAUGGACAGUAGCAGGAGGCCAAGUGGUUCCCAGCACCCUGGCCCUGCUGAGUGGAACCAGGUUCACAGUUCCAGAAACUGAGUCAGUUCUAAUCUCCUUGAAGGCUCAAGAUGAAGAACAUAAGAAAGACAAAAUCAGGUCUGAGAACUCUGGGCAUGUGUGUGGAAAAAAACAGAAAAAUUAAUUAGAGGCCACCUGCUCUCAGUGUGGGUGAUAGGAAGAGCCACAGAGAGGAAACUGCAUCUAAUCACUCAUGAGUAGAGUGUCUGGAGGAGUGGAGGCCUGGGGAGGGGUGGGGACACUGGAGAGCAUCAAGCAGAUGGUCACCAACACGUGAGGCCUGAGUGAAAACAAGUUCCCACUCUCUCCAUGUUUUAUUCCCUUUUAAGCCAGUUUGGCUGGUUGGAGGUACCUGCCAGCUAUCUCAAAGAAUUAGCUAGUCUUACAUGGGAUAGCUAGCUUCUUAACUAGAACCUAUUCAUACGGUGAAAAGCCCAACAUCAGGUCCCUGAGUGAAUCUGAUUGAAAUACUUGUGCCGUCCCCACCUGGCUGGGCACCAACUGUGGAAUCAUUAGUAGCUGUUACACUCAAGCUUCCUAGAGGUACAAUAACCUGAGAGACUUGAAAUACAUGUGUUGAACCAGGGUCAAGACGAGAAUCUGUGUUUCCGACAAUUCCUGGGUACUGUCAUUGCUGAUAAAUGCAUAGACCAUUUCUUCAGUGCCUAAGUAUUCAAAUGUUCCCUCUUUACAUUUGCAUUACAGAUAUAAAGUCAUUAAGUGGGGACAGAAACAGAUAUACUAUGCAUAAAAGUGGAAUAUUCAUUAAAUAUCAUUAGCAACCCUGACAGUUGUUGGGUCACUAAAAAAGAUAAAAAACAAAAAUAAAAAACUGACAUGAACGUAGAAUGGGGACUAGUUGGGAAAAGGUAGGGCUGCAGUAGCAGCAGAGAGAAAACAAGUCAGGGAAAACAGGAGGCGAAAAUGAUCAAAAUACAUUUUAUAUAUGUAUGAAACUAUCAUGAUAAAACCCAUUAUAUAUAUGUAUGUAUGUGUGUGUGUGUGUGUGUAUACUAAUAAAAGA